GAUGAAGAACGCAGCGAAAUGCGAUACGUAAUGUGAAUUGCAGAAUUCAGUGAAUCAUCGAAUCUUUGAACGCAUAUUGCGCUCUCUGGUAUUCCGGAGAGCAUGCUUGUUUGAGUAUCAGUAAACACCUCAACUCCCUUUUCUUUUUUGAAAUGGGAGCUGGACUUGAUUGAUCCCAACGCUUUUCUCACCGGAAAGUGGCGGGUUACUUGAAAUGCAGGUGCAGCUGGACUUUUCUCUGAGCUAUAAGCAUAUCUAUUUAGUCUGCCUAAAAACAGAUUAUUACCUUUGCUGCAGCUAACAUAAAGGAGAUUAGUUCUUGUGCUGACUGAUGCAGGAUUCACAGAGACAGCUUCGGCUGACUUUGUAAACUCGAUCUCAAAUCAAGUAAGACUACCCGCUGAACUUAAGCAUAUCAAUAAGCGGAGGA
rnacentral:misc_RNA from 1 species